GACGGAGGAUGCAAGCGUUAUCCGGAAUGAUUGGGCGUAAAGCGUCCGCAGGUGGCAGUUCAAGUCUGCUGUCAAAGACCGGGGCUUAACUUCGGAAAGGCAGUGGAAACUGAACAGCUAGAGUAUGGUAGGGGCAGAGGGAAUUCCUGGUGUAGCGGUGAAAUGCGUAGAUAAUCUGGAGGAACACCGGUGGCGAAGGCGGCAUCCUGGACCGAGUACGUGACGCUGAGGAGCGAAAGCGUGGGAGCAACG
rnacentral:rRNA from 1 species